rnacentral:rRNA from 1 species
AUUGAACGCUGGCGGCAGGCCUAACACAUGCAAGUCGAACGGAAACAGGAAGAGGUUUGCUUCUUUGCUGUCGAGUGGCGGACGUGUGUGUCAUGUCUGGGAAACUGCCUGAUGGAGGGGGAUACUUACUGGAAACGGUAGCUAAUACCGCAUAACGUCGCAAGCGCAAAGAUGGGGACUUUCAGGCCUCUUGCCAUCGGAUGUUCCCAGAUGGGAUUAGCUAGUAGGUAGGGUAACGGCUAACCUAGGCGACGAUCCCUAGCUGGUCUGAGAGGAUGACCAGCCACACUGGAACUGAGACACGGUCCAGACUCCUACGGGAGGCAGCAGUGGGGAAUAUUGCACAAUGGGCGCAAGCCUGAUGCAGCCAUGCCGCGUGUAUGAAGAAGGCCUUCGGGUUGUAAAGUACUUUCAGCGGGGAGGAAGGAAGUAAAGUUAAUACCUGCACUCAUUGACGGUACCCACAGAAGAAGCAACGGCUAACUACGUG